rnacentral:lncRNA from 1 species
GAAGGCGUGGCGCUCUGAGUCUGGGCGGCAACGGGCGAUACCGCGUUCUCGCGAGGUCUCGCGACUGGCUAGGGCAGGGUCCUCUACAGCGGGGCCCCUCAGCAUUGUGGGAAGGCCUGGACCUCCCUAUUUCCCGGGAGUUGUUGGAGGUUGCACCGAGCGCACUACCGACUCUGUCCUUAAUUCGGGCCAAGCUUUGGGUGCUGGAAAUUAAAUCCAGGGCCUUGGGGAUGCUAGGCAAGUGCUCCACCAUUGAGCUACAUUGUGGCCCUUUUGAUGAGGAAAAAAAGAAGAAUCAAGAUAUAUCAUGUACUGGUACAAAUUUCCUAUAAUGAAUGUUAUCAUCAUGUAUAUCUAAAUGUACC